rnacentral:lncRNA from 1 species
GAGAAAAGUUAGACAAUUCCUCCAAAUCACAAAGAUAAUUUGUUCAACUGAGAGAGUGCUUAACUCAGGAGAUCAAUAAAGGUUCAUAGAGGAAGAAGUAUUUGAAAUUGUCCUGGAAGAACAAUAUUUUUCAACAGGCAGAGAUGGAGAAAGGACAAUCUACAUGAACAGAACAGCAUGAGCAAAAAGAACUGGUUAGAGACUAUCCAUAGGAUAAAUUUCUAGCAAAUUGCUGAGUCCAGGAUAUGCAUGUUUGCAAUUUUGGAAGAUCUUAAAAACUUGCCUCCUAUAGGUGUUGUACCAGUAUAUACUUCUGCCAGUAAUAGAUGGGUGGGCUGCUGAUGCCUCAAAAUGUAAGUAUUUUCAAACUUUUAAAUUUUAGCCCAUUUAACAUAAUUUAAAAAUUAUGUCUCUGUGUGAUUUUAGUUCCAUUUCCCUUAUUAUAUAUAAGACUGAACAUCUUGGCAUAUGUUUAAGGGCCAUCUGCAUUUCCUUUUCUGUGCACUGUCAGCUUAUAUGCUUUGCCCAUUUUUUCUAGUAGAUGGUUAGUGUUUUUCUUAUUGAUUUGUAUAUAUUCUGUAUUACUCCUUUAUCACAUUGCCACAAAGAAAUGCCUGAGAUGGUGUCAUUUAUAGAGAAAAGAGGUUUAAUUGGCUCACAGUUCCACAGGCUAUACAGGAAGCAUGGCUGAGGAGGCCUCAGGAAACUUAACAAUCAUGGCAGAAGGUGAAGGGGAAGCAGGCACAUCUACACAUGGCCAGAGCAGGAGGAAGAGAGAGAAGGAAGAGGUGCUACACCCUUUUAAGCAACCAGAUCUUGUGAGAUCUCACUAUCGUGAGAAUAGCAAGGAGGAAAUCUGCCCCCAUGAUUCAGUCACCUCCUGCCAGACCCCUCCUCCAACAUUAGGGAUUACAAUUCGACACGAGAUUGCCGGUGGGACACAAAUCCAAACCAUAUCAUAUUCUUUAUACAUUUGGGAAAUUAACUUUUUUCUGUAAUAUGAUUUACAAAUAUUUUUCUCAGAUUGGCAUUUGUUUUUUGACUUUUCAUAUUGUGCAUUUUGCCAUGGGAAGUUUUUUUUGUCAUUAAAUUUACCUAUUCUUUCAUUCAUAUGGCUUCUGGGUCCUAUAUUAUACUUAGACCUUUACCAUUCUGAAAUUAUGUAAGAAAAAUUCUCUCAGGGUUUUUUCCUAGUAAUUUUAAGACUUUACUUUUAAUAUUUUGGAUUUAUCCAGAUGUAGACUAUAAGAUAAGGAUCCACAUUUUUUCCCCAGCUCUACAUUUUGCUGCUAGAAGAUUUUACAAAAUUUUGCAAUUACUUAGUAACUUACAUUUCUUCCCAAUUGAUUUUGAAAUCUGUAAGAGCAGAAACUUUGAUUUCAUAUUUUUAUUCUCUCACAUGCCUGCCCUUUAAUGCACUUCAACCCCAGCCCCAAGUUUUGCCUAGUACUUGGCAGUUAGGUAGUUGUUACUUCUGCAUCUCUUGACUGCUGGGGAGGAAAGAUUCCACCUGAGUUAAGGCAAGUCCUACCCAGGAUGUGGCUGCAAAUGAGACUGCAAAGUUCUCGACCGAUGUCUUUUCAUUAAACUCUGGCUUUUACCAAGUACAAGUACCAAGUGAGUCAUACCGACACAUGUAGAGGAUGGCAUCCUGAGGGGAAAAGAAUUAUAGUGGAAAUAACCAAGGCUGCUUGGAGAAAAGCUUCUCAGCUGGCACUGCAGAACAGCAGCCACUGCCACAGCAAACAGCAAAACAAUAACAAGCUUACUUGCAGAAGGUGGGAAGCUGCAGACGUAAAUGCAGGCUCCCUUCCCAGGCUACCAGCAGUCCCUGGGGAUGAAGUAGUCUAAAUGGGCAGCAGUUGUGGAGUCCUCCCCGCUCACAGGAAUGGAAGAUGUCACUCACUAGCAGAAGUGCUCUGGGGUGGCAAUGAGGAGUACUGUCUUUGGACUCUGACAGGAACAUCUGGAUGGCACCAGGCUCAGGGAGACGGGUCUUGUGUGUCCUGCUAAGCACUAACAGCAAUAAUUGAGCAGCAGCAAUCUGCCUCACAUCAUUCUAGGCCCUAGGAGGGCACAAAGUUGGUUCUUGGCUCAGGUUAUCAGGAAAGUAACGUAUGUGCGUACAAAUAAAGUGUCCAACAGCAGAAAGGGAUGCCCUGAACAGUCCAGGUUGCACAAAGGAGUAUGGACAAACAAGUAGUUUCAUCCAGCUGGGAGCACUAGGAAAGCUCAGAAGGAGGAUGCCUCCAGGAGCCAGUGAGUGUAUUCUGUCACCAGGUGCCUUGGAGAGUGGAGGAUCUGGAGGGCACUUUUUGAGGCUGAUAGGAAGAAAGCAGACGGGUGGAGUGGUAGAUGGAAUGACGCCCUCACCCUCUGCAAUGUUCACAUUCUAAUCCCUGAGAUAUGUGAAUAUGUUACUCUAGCUGACAAAAGGGACUUUGCAGAUGUGAUUAAGGAUUUUGAGCUGGGGAGGUGACUCUGAAUUACAUGAAUGGGCCCAGUAUAAUCACAAGGGUCCUUAUAAUAGGGAGACUGGAGUGUCAGAGUCACAGAUGAGCUGUGAUGAUGGACGCAGUGGUGAGAGAGAGAUGUGAAGAUGGAAGGAGAGGGCCAUGGGCCAAGGAAUGUGGGUGGUCUCUAAAAGCUGGAAAAGGCAAGAAAAUGGAUCCUCCCCUAGAGACUCCAGCAGGAACAAAACCCUGCUGACACCUUGACUGUAGGACUUCCAACCUCCAGAACUAUAAAAUAAUAAAUUCAUGUUGUUUUAAACCACUAAGAUUGUCGUAAUUUGUUACAACAGCCAUGGGAAAUGAGCACAGGUGGAUUAGACACUUCAAGAGAUGUAAUUUCUUUGUGUAAUUCUUUCUGGGAAGCUCCAUGAA